UGCCAACACAAUUGCGUAGCCUCCGGAGACACGCAGAGGCCAAAUUGAGCACCAUACCACAUCACCGUUUGCCUCUCAAAUGUAACAAUUCGGAGGGCUUAGUAUAACUCUGCAUUCACAUGAUUGGUUGAUGCCACAAUUAACAAGAAGAAGAGCAGACUGAGGAGGACUGAGUUUUGAAAUCAGUGGAAUUCGAGUAUGAUAGCUAAGGAGAUGGAGAAAACACCUGUCUGGAUUACAUCUUCAAACUAAGGGCAACCAUGCAUGGCAUCAGACAGGAGAUGCAUCCAACCAUGAUGAAUACGGGACAAUGACCCAACACACCUCCAGGCUGUGUAAGGGCUAUUUUACCAAGAAGGAGAGUGAUGGAGUGCUGCAUCGGAUGACCUGGCCUCCACAAUCCCCUGACCUCAACCAACACUAUAGCCUAAAGGAACUCAAACCCAACUACAGGGGCCAGAACAGUGGUGUUUUUGUAGGGUUUUUGGGUAAAGGCUG
rnacentral:lncRNA from 1 species